rnacentral:snoRNA from 1 species
CCAUGGUUUGGACAUUUCAUAAGCUUCUCCUUUAAUCUCUCCCAUGCUUCAUACAAAAGCUCUCCAUUGUGUUGAUGAAAAUUUGUGAUUUCAUCACACAAUUG